GCUUUCGUGUGUAGUGGUUAGCACGCUCGACGUGUAACCGGGAGGUCCGUGGUUAGAUUCCCGGCAAAGGCG
rnacentral:tRNA from 1 species